UACGAAGGGGGCUAGCGUUGCUCGGAAUCACUGGGCGUAAAGGGUGCGUAGGCGGAUUGUUAAGUCAGGGGUGAAAUCCCGGAGCUCAACUCCGGAACUGCCUUUGAUACUGGCAAUCUAGAGUCCGGAAGAGGUGAGUGGAACUCCUAGUGUAGAGGUGGAAUUCGUAGAUAUUAGGAAGAACACCAGUGGCGAAGGCGGCUCACUGGUCCGGUACUGACGCUGAGGUGCGAAAGCGUGGGGAGCAAACAGG
rnacentral:rRNA from 1 species